AAACUUUCGAUUUUUCGUUUAAAUUACGAAAUUAGUUCUUCUUUGGAUGGACAAAAGUUCAACCAUCGCUCAUAUGGUCCUACAGGUGAAACUGAAAGCUCCCACUGCCCAUGAGAAUACGCAAGAGAAUGGCAACUUCUUGAUGUUCUAUGCCCAGCACGUAUAUUCAGCAACCUGGGUGAUAAUUUUCUGCAGUCCAAGAAGUGUGUCUUGAACGGAACAGGUGAGGCUUCCCAAGAUGGUGAUGGAUUGGCAACUGGAGAAUGUUCGAGGCAUACGAUGGAGGGGACGAUGCCUUACUUGCUGGAUGGACGCCAUAG